UACCUGACCUCUCAUUAGAUUGUGUCCAUGCAAAACCACUCAUUGGUGUUGCAACAUAAAAUGUAAUUUCUCUUUGUAGGACCUAUGUAUAACCCAGCUGGCUACUAGAUAUGUCAGUCUGACAAGAGGACAUUUAGUUUGCUAAGCAUUUGAGGGUCUGAUCAAGUUUUGGGAGAGCCAAAUUGCUCUGCAUAAUUGAAAAAGAAUUUACAGUAAUGGAGGCUGGAAGUGGGGAGGGAAAGCAAACAAGAUGACAGGAACACUUAUGUUUCAAGAUGUGACACCAUACUGUAGCUCUCUCAACUUUAGAUAAUCAUCUUAUUAGCAAAUGCAUGAUGCAGAUGAAUUUCUUGUGGAAACGAACGAAAAGAGACAUUCAGGUAUCAUGUUUAUAUAGAACUGGUGAGCGCCAAAACAAAGGGGAUCUUAAUAAUGUAAUUAUCCCAGAAUGCAUAGGAUUCUGGGGGUUAUUUUGUCUAAUUUAAAGAAUUGAGAGAAGAGUUUUUCAAAGCAGUUUCAUGUAGCUCUAGCUACAUGAAGAGAGGGCUCUAGCUGACAUCUGGUAGAUACGUUUACUUAAGACUGUACUUAGACGUGGGAAUAAAUUAGUAAAUUGAAGGUUCUUGUGGAAUUUUCCACAGGAAAGCAAUAAUAAAAGCCCAACUUUCA
rnacentral:lncRNA from 1 species